CCUUUCCGGCCUGUUGACAUGGAAACGCGCGGAGCCUUUUCCCUUCUGUCUGCCUUUCCGGCCUGUUGACGUGGAAACGCGCGGGGCCUUUUCCCUUCUGUCUGCCUUUCCGGCCUGUUGACGUGGAGACGCGCGGGGCCUUUUCCCUUCUGUCUGCCUUUCCGGCCUGUUGACGUGGAGACGCGCGGGGCCUUUUCCCUUCUGUCUGCCUUUCCGGCCUGUUGACGUGGAGACGCGCGGGGCGUUUUCCCUUCUGUCUGCCUUUCCGGCCUGUUGACGUGGAGACGCGCGGGGCCUUUUCCCUUCUGUCUGCCUUUCCGGCCUGUUGACGUGGAGACGCGCGGGGCCUUUUCCCUUCUGUCUGCCUUUCCGGCCUGUUGACGUGGAGACGCGCGGGGCCUUUUCCCUUCUGUCUGCCUUUCCGGCCUGUUGACGUGGAGACGCGCGGGGCCUUUUCCCUUCUGUCUGCCUUUCCGGCCUGUUGACGUGGAGACGCGCGGGGCCUUUUCCCUUCUGUCUGCCUUUCCGGCCUGUUGACGUGGAGACGCGCGGGGCGUUUUCCCUUCUGUCUGCCUUUCCGGCCUGUUGACGUGGAGACGCGCGGGGCGUUUUCCCUUCUGUCUGCCUUUCCGGCCUGUUGACGUGGAGACGCGCGGGGCCUUUUCCCUUCUGUCUGCCUUUCCGGCCUGUUGACGUGGAGACGCGCGGGGCCUUUUCCCUUCUGUCUGCCUUUCCGGCCUGUUGACGUGGAGACGCGCGGGGCCUUUUCCCUUCUGUCUGCCUUUCCGGCCUGUUGACGUGGAGACGCGCGGGGCCUUUUCCCUUCUGUCUGCCUUUCCGGCCUGUUGACGUGGAGACGCGCGGGGCCUUUUCCCUUCUGUCUGCCUUUCCGGCCUGUUGACGUGGAGACGCGCGGGGCCUUUUCCCUUCUGUCUGCCUUUCCGGCCUGUUGACACGGAGACGCGCGGGGCCUUUUCCCUUCUGUCUUCCUUUCCGGCCUCUUGACGUAGUCUACUUUUACUCAGCUCCUGUCAUAGUGCUUGUAAGGUCGUGUAUCCUAAAUUUUCUCUAAAUGAUAUAUCAUAAGCACUUUUCUAUGUUGUCAUUUAGUUGUAGUAAUCAACAUUUUAAUGACUAAGUGAUAUUUCAGAGCAUUUCAACAUUCCUGAAUAAAAUGAUAAUAUGGCCGUAAAAACAAUGAGGUUGUACCACAAUAGAAGAAAUAUAACUCUAGUCUUUAAGAAAGAAACGUUACUACCUGUGUGGCUAACAGUUGCUGGCUUUUCUCUAUGUUUCUCAUACUUUGGAAUGAAUUAGCUCUAGAAUAAAGUCAGCAUAUUGUGUGUCUGAGUCCUGAACUUCUGGCUGGUGGACACAGAUCUCUGUUGUAUGCAGCCUUCUUGCUGGCCAAGUAGAUCAGCACAGAGACACUGAGCUCACUCUGGCUUUCUCUGUUCUCCAGCCUGGCCCCCUGCAUUCCCACAGCUUAAAGUUUAUUUUAAGCUUUAUUCUUUCCCACGUCCUUUGUUUUUUUUAGAUAACGUUCAUGUAAUUAUGAAAAUAAAUUCAGAGCAAGGCUGUCUUUCUGAGGGCAGGGGUGCGUUGCCGGCAGCCGAGGCCUGCUGGGGAUAGUGUUCCUCGUCUGCCAGUGCUUGUUCUGUGGGAAUAAAGCAACAGGAUCAUUUUAGAAUAAUUAGGGAAAAAAUACAAAACACUGAGGGUGAAUUAGCCCUGCCAAUCUGGUGGUCGUUCCUGAGUUCAGCAAAUUUGCAUCCAUAUGUAUCUGUGUCUUGUGACUGCAUUGAUUUGGUUUUCAACUUCUUUGCAAGAAUACAAGCUACGGGGAGGCUGCCGCCUCAGUAGAGCCUGUGUUCACUGAUGUGGCCCUGUGGUAACAGCGAGGACAGCAAGGUGACGGGUGCAGCUCCUGCCCGUCAGGCACUCACAGUCCUGAAGAAGACAGAGGAAGAAAAGCCCGUUGUCCAGCAAGCUUGUGAGGUGGCUGAAGCCUGUCUCCACUGUAUCCAGGGCAGAAAAAUACCGGCGAGACUUCAGCGGGGCUGAGGCCUAACUGAAACCAAGAUGAGCUUUGGUUUUAUUUCUUAGUAUAAUGUCACCUAGUGAGUUUCACCAAAUAUUGCAUUUGCAUAAUGCAUUUUUGUGCUACUUUUCUAGACCCCAGAAGUGACAAGAGGGCAGGAAACUUCUGGCUCACGCCAGCACGGUAACCACUGCUUCUGUCCGUCUCCUCGACAGUCCGCACACCACUGCACAAGGCAGCGGUUUAUCUUUUUAAUUCUCUGCUUCAUUGGCAUAGCCUUGACUGGCAAACAGGAGUUGAUUGCUAUCUGGUGGGAGAUACAGAGUGGAGGCAGGCAUGGGAAAUACAGUGCGUUAAAGGUAGGUUCAGAUUGAGUGGAGCAGCUUUAAAGGACUAAGUGUCUGGCCAGUCUUCAAUAAACAUGAAACUGAAGUUAGAACCAAGAAGUAUCCAAGAAAUCACCUGGUACAGCAACUCCGGAACUAACAGCCUGUAGGACACUCAGUGGGCUCCUGGUUUCAUAUUCCAUAAUGCAAACAUCUACUGAGGACCAUGCUAGACAGCGGCAAAGGCCAAAAAAAGCACCAGGACUUGACUUCAGCUACGAUCCAAGCAAUCAGAUGUGCUUUUACAUGUCAAUUGCAUGCAAACCACCAGUGCAAGUUUGAAGUGUUACGUGACAAGAGUAGUAAGAAUCGCCUUCAAUGAUGCAUAGGGAGCAUUCACUAUGGGCCCAGCACCCCACAAGACCACCUCUAUGCAUUAUCUUGUUUUAUGCCAUUAGACAUUUGAGAAACCUGAAAUUCAAAGACGGCAGCCACUCAGACAAGGUCAGGGAGCUGGUAGCAGCAGAUCCAGGGUCCAGCCCCGACAGCCGAGCUCCAGCUCUGGCGUUUGACCACCCUGCGAAUCCUAUUAUACCACUUGACCUAAAAUUCAUGUGCAAAUAUAGAAAUUACUUCACGCUCAGGACUUGGAGGAUUAUUAUCAAAGGCCCCUGCGGGUAGGUGAUUGGGAGUCAUGGCUGGGAAGAGCUGAACUCCUCAUGUUCUCAUGGCUGAUCCGAGAGCCCUGGGUUUGGAAGCAGAACACCCACCUGUUUAGAGCUGUGAUUCUGUCACUUCCUAGGGGUGUGAUGGUGGGAAUUAACCAAGUUUCUUCACCAGUAAUAUUUGCACAAUAACACCGUCCUCAUUCUGCUGUCUAUAGUAUUUAAAACUCCUAUAUUAAAUAACCCUUCCAAUACUGCUGCAAAUUAAAAACCUGGACCAAGGGGACCCCAACUAACUACUGCAGCCACCCCUGCUGGGGGCAAGCCAGAGCCCACUAAAACAGGACAUUUGGCUACAUUUACAGGGCGGUUUAAAUGAUUUGAAGCAACAGAUGUGUAUAUUGACUUGGAAGGUUUUGCAGGAAACUGUGUUUCAGUACUUAAAUAGCAUACUGUAAGGGCUGACCUUGAUCCAAGGGGUCACAAAUGUCACCUCGUUGGGAGGUGUCUUUUCCAGGAUCUACGUUAUAAUUAUGAUCUCCUUGGAAGCACCAGGGGAGAAAUUCCAGAUGGUUUUGCAAGGAUAAAGUGAGAGCAAAUGAACAUCCAGGUUAUGUAUGGAUGUUCAUGGAGGAUUAAGUGAGAGAAUGGUGUGGAAAGUACCAGGUAAACCAGGAGGCCUGAAGCACACGUGUAAUAUGUUUAUUAUUUGACUUAAAUGAAAGCAUGGAUAUUUUUAAAGGUUAAAGAAAAAGGUUCACCAUUUUAAACUCAUGUAAAAUCAUUAUAUAAAAUUAUUAUUGCUUUUAACUGAGUUCUUGAAUCAUUUCUUCUUAAUUCAAACAAGUCAUUAUUCUGUGACCAGUAGGAGUUUUUGAGAUCAGUCUGUUUGCUACUAAAUUUGUCUGCACUUGGGACUUCACUCAAGAGGAAUGCCAGCUUUCUUGUGUGGAACCAGAGGCAGUCGGGGCCUGAGCCAGCAGCACUACCUGAUCGAGGAACAGGUGCACUGAGAAAACAGAGAAGCCACUCAAGACUGUUAACUUUUUGUUUGAAAGCUGCAUCAAAGUCUGGGUAGCCUUCCCAGAAAUACUAUUCAGUACAUGAGCACAGCAGCCUGGGACCUGCAGGGCUCCGCAGGUGACCCUGGCUAACUCCACUGGAAGGGCCCCGCCUCCAGCAACAUCUUCCUCAGUUUCCACCUUCUGUCCUUUGCUGAUUUAGUCCCACAAGAACUUGAGUCUGAAGACAGCUUUGUUUUCACUGCUGUGAUAACAAAAACACAAUUAUGAAAUAAUGUAAACGCUCAUGCAAAAACACACAGAAAAGCCAAACACAACAGUGGCCCAGCCAAGCUCUGCGAGCUUAGUCCUGUGUGCUGUGAAUGCCCUGGGCCCCUCUGGAUGCCAAGUGCCAUGGACUCAGGCCUUAAAGGAAUUUUCAAGCAACACUUUAAAUAUACGCAUUUCAAAAAGUGACUUAUACACAAAAUUCAAGUGCGAUGGUGUACUUUUUGUUAUUUUUACUAACUAGAAUAUAGGGCUCGUGUACAUUUUACAAAUUUGUUUUGCUUUAGCCUUUUGUUAUCCCAUCAAAUCGCUGUCAGGGUCACCAGGCCAGUCCUUUUCCUCCUGCCUGCUGUGGGUGUGAUAUGCAUUCUGUAAAACAGGUGUCUGGCAUGGUUUUUGCUCUCAUUUUGUUGCUUUUAUGUUCUUUGAUAUGGUUAAACCUAUCUUUUAUUUA
ensembl:lncRNA novel transcript